rnacentral:rRNA from 1 species
AUUGAACGCUGGCGGCAGGCCUAACACAUGCAAGUCGAGCGGAUGAAGGGAGCUUGCUCCUGGAUUCAGCGGCGGACGGGUGAGUAAUGCCUAGGAAUCUGCCUGGUAGUGGGGGAUAACGUCCGGAAACGGGCGCUAAUACCGCAUACGUCCUGAGGGAGAAAGUGGGGGAUCUUCGGACCUCACGCUAUCAGAUGAGCCUAGGUCGGAUUAGCUAGUUGGUGGGGUAAAGGCCUACCAAGGCGACGAUCCGUAACUGGUCUGAGAGGAUGAUCAGUCACACUGGAACUGAGACACGGUCCAGACUCCUACGGGAGGCAGCAGUGGGGAAUAUUGGGCAAUGGGCGAAAGCCUGAUCCAGCCGUGCCGCGUGUGUGAAGAAGGUCUUCGGAUUGUAAAGCACUUUAAGUUGGGGGGAAGGGCAGUAAGUUAAUACCUUGCUGUUUUGACGUUACCAACAGAAUAAGCACCGGCUAACUUCGUG